GUAACCUACUACCUUAGUUACCGGUGCCCCUAAAAUAGACCAAGAUGGAGAAGGCCAGUAUGCCUUGGCUCUCCACGAAUACCCUCCUCCUCCUCAAACACCAAAGCAAAAGCAAGUAAUUAAAUUGUAUUCGCCAAAGUAGCUAGUUAACAAUAAGUAGUGGACCAACGGACAAUGAUGUAUUGCUAGAAUGUAUGAUUACCGUUAUUAAGGUUACAGAAUGCUCGCGCUGAAGUGCUCAAAAGGUGCACGAAAGGCGCUGAAGGCAGCGGUUUUUUUUUCUAAAAAAAGAAGUCAAGUCUGAACACGGCCAAUUUUCGUUGAAAGCGGUGAUAAAGAUGCUGCAAGUAUUACCAAUGAGCUAUUACCCUCAUUGACACGGGAAGACCUAAGAGACCUUAUGCCAGGGCCGGAGAAUUUUCUGAGGAGAAAACACAUUUGGGAAGCUGUCCAUUCAGAGGAAAGCUCAUCCUCUGAACCAGUCACGGAUAACAACAUACCCAAGACACAAGAAGUAACGCCAGAAAAAGUAAUAAAGAUAUGUAGUCCAGAGUAUGUUGUGUACACAGAUGCAGAGCUUGAGCAUGUGCGCAAAUACUACUUUGAACUUCAUCGCAAUGGGCAAGCACAUGAGUGUGUUAUGUCCAAAGAGCUGCGAUGUCGCUUGGUCAGAAAUACUAUUACUUCAAUGAUUUCAAUUGUACGAGGCUAUGACAUGAAGGAAAGAAGAGAUUGGGGAGAGUAUCCCUCCCGUG
ensembl:lncRNA